GACGAACGCUGGCGGCGUGCUUAACACAUGCAAGUCGAACGGAAAGGCCCUGCUUUUGUGGUGUGCUCGAGUGGCGAACGGGUGAGUAACACGUGAGUAACCUGCCCUUCACUUUGGGAUAACUUCAGGAAACUGGGGCUAAUACCGUAUAGGAGCUCCUGCUGCAUGGUGGGGGUUGGAAAUUUUCGGCGGUUGGGGAUGGACUCGCGGCUUAUCAGCUUGUUGGUGGGGUAGUGGCUUACCAAGGCUUUGACGGGUAGCCGGCCUGAGAGGGUGACCGGCCACAUUGGGACUGAGAUAGGGCCCAGACUCCUCGGGGAGGCAGAAGUGGGGAAUAUUGCACAAUGGGCGGAAGCCUGAUGAAGCAACGCGGCGUGCGGGAUGACGGCCUUCGGGUUGUAAACCGCUUUCGCCUGUGACGAAGCGUGAGUGACGGUAAUGGGUAAAGAAGCACCGGCUAACUACGUG
rnacentral:rRNA from 1 species